UUUUGGUUGAUGUUGGUGAUCCUGUACUGUCGAGAAAAGCCUCUAGCGAGUGUCAUUAUGGCCCGUACCCUAAACCGACACAGGUAGUCAGGUAGAGAAUACUAAGGCGAUCGGGUGAACUGUGGUUAAGGAACUCGGCAAAAUGCCCCCGUAACUUCGGGAGAAGGGGGACCAUUGUUGGUGACAGACUGAUGGAGCUGACGGUGGUCGCAGAGAAUAGAGGGAAGCGACUGUUUAUUAAAAACACAGUCCGUGCGAAAACGUGGAAGUUGAUGUAUACGGACUGACGCCUGCCCGGUGCUGGAAGGUUAAGAGGACCUGUUAGAUCCCUUUGUGGGUCGAAGCGGAGAAUUUAAGCCCCAGUAAACGGCGGUGGUAACUAUAACCAUCCUAAGGUAGCGAAAUUCCUUGUCGGGUAAGUUCCGACCUGCACGAAUGGCGUAACGACUUCCCUGCUGUCUCAACCACAGGCCCGGUGAAAUUGCAGUACGAGUAAAGAUGCUCGUUACGCGCGGCAGGACGAAAAGACCCCGGGACCUUCACUAUAGCUUGGUAUUGGUGUUUGGUUCGGUUUGUGUAGGAUAGGUGGGAGACUGUGAUACUGCGCCGCUAGGUGUGGUGGAGUCGCAAGUUGAAAUACCACUCUGAUCGGAUUGAGCACCUUAACCUUGGCCCAUGAUCUGGGUUGGGGACAGUGCCUGGUGGGUAGUUUAACUGGGGCGGUUGCCUCCUAAAAUGUAACGGAGGCGCCCAAAGGUUCCCUCAGCCUGGUUGGCAAUCAGGUGGUGAGUGUAAGUGCACAAGGGAGCUUGACUGUGAGACUGACAGGUCGAGCAGGGACGAAAGUCGGGACUAGUGAUCCGGCACCUACUUGUGGAAGUGGUGUCGCUCAACGGAUAAAAGGUACCCCGGGGAUAACAGGCUGAUCUUCCCCAAGAGUCCAUAUCGACGGGAUGGUUUGGCACCUCGAUGUCGGCUCGUCGCAUCCUGGGGCUGGAGUAGGUCCCAAGGGUUGGGCUGUUCGCCCAUUAAAGCGGCACGCGAGCUGGGUUUAGAACGUCGUGAGACAGUUCGGUCUCUAUCCGCCGUGCGCGUUGAAACUUGAAGAAGGCUGUCCCUAGUACGAGAGGACCGGGACGGACGUACCUCUAGUGUGCCAGUUGUCACGCCCGUGGCAGGGCUGGUUGGCUACGUACGGAAGGGAUAACCGCUGAAAGCAUCUAAGCGGGAAGCCUGUUUUAAGAUGAGGUUUCUUUUGAGGUUCCCUCUAGACGAGGGGGUUGAUAGGCCAGAUCUGGAAGAGUGGUAACACUUGGAGGUGACUGGUACUAAUUUACCGAUAAACAACCAC
rnacentral:rRNA from 1 species